CGGGGCCGCUUGUUUGGGAUUACUGGGUGUAAGGGUUCGUAGGCGGUGCGGCAAGUUGGGAGUGAAAUCUCUGGGCUUAACCCAGAGGCUGCUUCCAAAACUGCUGUGCUUGAGUGUGGGAGAGGCGCGUGGAAUUGCAGGUGUAGCGGUGAAAUGCGUAGAUAUCUGCAGGAACACCCGUGGCGAAAGCGGCGCGCUGGACCACAACUGACGCUGAGGAACGAAAGCUAGGGGAGCAAACAGGAUUAGAUACCCUGGUAGUCCUAGCCCUAAACGAUCAGGACUUGGGGUGCCACCCGUUCGGGUGUCGUCCCGGAGCUAACGCGUUAAGUCCUGCACCUGGGGAGUACGGUCGCAAGACUGAAACUCAAAGGAAUUGACGGGGGCCCGCACAAGCGGUGGAACAUGUGGUUCAAUUCGACGCUACGCGAGGAACCUUACCUGGGCUCGAAAUGCUUAGGACCAGCUGUAGAAAUACGGCCUUCCCGCAAGGGACCUGAGUAUAGGCGCCGCAUGGCUGUCGUCAGCUCGUGCCGUGAGGUGUUGGGUUAAGUCCCGCAACGAGCGCAACCCCUGCACACAGUUGCCACUCCGCAAGGAGGGAACUCUGUGUGGACUGCUCCGGAUAACGGAGAGGAAGGUGGGGAUGACGUCAAGUCCGCAUGGCCUUUAUGUCCAGGGCUACACACGUGUUACAAUGCAGGGUACAAACCGUUGCCAACCCGCGAGGGGGAGCUAAUCGGAAAAAACUCUGCUCAGUUCGGAUUGCAGUCUGCAACUCGACUGCAUGAAGCCGGAAUCGCUAGUAAUGGCGUAUCAGAUCGACGCCGUGAAUACGUUCCCGGGCCUUGUACACACCGCCCGUCACAUCACGAAAGUGAGCUGUACUAGAAGUCGCCACGCUAACCGCAAGGAGGCAGGCGCCCAAGGUAUGACUCAUGAUUGGGGUGAAGUCGUAACAAGGUAACC
rnacentral:rRNA from 1 species